CUGAGAAGGGAGUGGUUCAGGGAACGGUGCCGGGGGAGGCAUAAUCAGCCUCAGGUGGGACUAAUCAAGCUGUGUAUUCUACCUUUAAGUAGGAGAAAUCUGGCGCCAGCGAGGGAGUGCUGAGAGGAGGCUGGAGCGACAACAACGGCUGUACGACAGAGGGGCCAGGCUGCGACGAUUCACACCGGGAGAAAAAGUACUUGUAUUACUUCCUACUUCCAACUCUAAACUCCUAGCCAAGUGGCAACGGCCCUUCGAGGUCACACGGCAGGUGGGGGACGUCGACCACGAGGUGGUGUGGUCUGACGGGGGCGGGGGUACACAGAUAUACCACCUGAACCUCCUGAAAGCCUGGAGGGGAGUGGAGUCUGUCUCUCUGGUCUCUACAGUAUCGGAAAGGGAGGAGCUGGGGCUGGAGGUUCCAAAAGCAGGCCGGACCGACCUCAUACACAGUAUCGAGAAGCCCCCGGGCGUGACUGUGAGGUCACUACCCUACAGGUUGCCCGAACACAAGAAAGAAGUGGUUCGGAGGGAAUUGGUAAGUAUGUUGGAGUUGGGUAAUAGAGUCCAACAGUGCCUGGUGCAGCCCCAUCGUCCUUGUGGCUAAGAAGGAUGGAUCCGUACGGUUCUGCGUGGACUAUCGCCCCGGGUCGACGAGCUCCUGGACCGGCUAGGCACUGCACGUUUCUUCACGACACUGGAUUUAACCAAGGGCUACUGGCAGAUUCCUCUGUCGCCAGAGUCCAAGGAGAAAACGGCAUUCUCCACCCCGUACGGUUUGUACCAAUUUACCACACUUCCCUUCGGGUUGUUUGGGGCCCCGGCCACGUUUUAGCGCCUCAUGGAUUGGGUGCUGCAUCCGCACGCUGCAUAUGCCACCGCCUACCUGGACCAUGUCAUUAUCCACAGCACCACCUGGGAGGAGCAUGUGCGGCAGGUGGGCGCAGUGCUGGAGGCGCUGGAACGGGCGGGGCUCACCGCCAACCCGGGGAAGUGUGCAGUUGGACGGGUGGAGGUACGGUAUUUGGGGUACCACUUGGGGGGCGGGCAGGUGCACCCUGAGGUGGACAAGACGGCAGCCAUCGCGGCCUGCCCGCCCAAGGCAAAAAAAGAGGUGAGGCGGUUCUUGGGGCACCCUGGGCUACUACCUCCUGGGACGCUCUUUCACCCGCUGUUCGGACCACGCCCCGCUCCAAUGGCUCCACCGCAUGAAAGAUGCCAACCCCCGGAUCAUUCGGUGGUAUCUGGCUCUACAGCCUUUUAAUUUCAAG
ensembl:lncRNA